rnacentral:rRNA from 1 species
AUUGAACGCUGGCGGCAUGCUUUACACAUGCAAGUCGAACGGCAGCGCGGGCUUCGGCCUGGCGGCGAGUGGCGAACGGGUGAGUAAUACAUCGGAACGUGCCCAGUAGUGGGGGAUAGCUCGGCGAAAGCCGGAUUAAUACCGCAUACGACCUGAGGGUGAAAGCGGGGGAUCUUCGGACCUCGCGCUAUUGGAGCGGCCGAUGGCGGAUUAGCUAGUUGGUGGGGUAAAGGCCUACCAAGGCGACGAUCUGUAGCUGGUCUGAGAGGACGACCAGCCACACUGGGACUGAGACACGGCCCAGACUCCUACGGGAGGCAGCAGUGGGGAAUUUUGGACAAUGGGCGAAAGCCUGAUCCAGCAAUGCCGCGUGUGUGAUGAAGGCCUUCGGGUUGUAAAGCACUUUUGGCGGGAACGAAAAGGACUGUGCCAAUACCACGGUUCGAUGACGGUACCCGAAGAAUAAGCACCGGCUAACUACGUG